GACGAACGCUGGCGGCGUGCUUAACACAUGCAAGUCGAACGGAAAGGCCCCUUUGGGGGUACUCGAGUGGCGAACGGGUGAGUAACACGUGAGUAACCUGCCCUUGACUUCGGGAUAACUUCAGGAAACUGGGGCUAAUACCGGAUAGGAAUCCUUGCUGCAUGGUGGGGGUUGGAAAGCUUCGGCGGUUUUGGAUGGACUCGCGGCUUAUCAGCUUGUUGGUGGGGUUGUGGCUUACCAAGGCUUUGACGGGUAGCCGGCCUGAGAGGGCGACCGGCCACAUUGGGACUGAGAUACGGCCCAGACUCCUACGGGAGGCAGCAGUGGGGGAUAUUGCACAAUGGGCGGAAGCCUGAUGCAGCAACGCCGCGUGCGGGAUGACGGCCUUCGGGUUGUAAACCGCUUUCAGCAGGGGCGAAGCUUGUGGUGACGGUACCUGCAGAAGAAGCACCGGCUAACUACGUG
rnacentral:rRNA from 1 species